GGUCUGUACAAUAUUAAAUCGGUCGAAAUAAACCCAAUAUACGUAUACCAGUAUUUCCCAACGAAGCAAGAGAUAAAAAGAAUUGAAGUUAUGAAGCACAUUAUUUUCUUGGCGAUAUUGUUCAUGUGCGGUGUAAUUCUGGUGGAUGAAAUUUACUCCAAAAGUUUUUAUAUCUUCAGCAGCGAUAACUUUAGAAAUGUAAAUGGGUAUAGUUCUCGACAACGAAGAGGCGGAAGGUGGAGCAGGAAAAAGAGAUCGUUAUCACAAUUUGACGAAAAUUUUGACGUUGUUGAAGAGGAUCUCUCAUUGAUGUGAAAUUUCAAAGCUGCGAACUGAUCGAAUAUGUAAAAAAAUAUAUAAAAACAUGUUCAAAUAAACUUAACAAAAGCAAA